rnacentral:rRNA from 1 species
UACGUAGGGUGCAGGCGUUAAUCGGAAUUACUGGGCGUAAAGCGUGCGCAGGCGGUUUGCUAAGACAGGUGUGAAAUCCCCGGGCUUAACCUGGGAACUGCGCUUGUAACUGGCAAGCUAGAGUGUGGCAGAGGGGGGUGGAAUUCCACGUGUAGCAGUGAAAUGCGUAGAGAUGUGGAGGAACACCGAUGGCGAAGGCAGCCCCCUGGGCCAGCACUGACGCUCAUGCACGAAAGCGUGGGGAGCAAACAGG